rnacentral:lncRNA from 1 species
AGUCCGAAUUCUCUGGCAAGUCGCGACAACGGACACUGCUCCACUCUCCGUAAUAGAUUUCACAUGGCCCCUCUACUUUUUGGCAAGUCACAAUAACGGAUACCACUCCACUCUCCAUAACAAACUCCACGUGGCCCUGAACGGCCCACUGACGCUACUACUCUUUGUAACAAACUCCGCAUGGCUCCGAACGGCCCACUACCAGGCAGUUACAGAUGUCGCUGUCAAUCAGUUACGCUCUUUCAUCUAUAAAAGAGACCCC